rnacentral:tRNA from 1 species
UCCACAGUAGCUCAGUGGUAGAGCUAUCGGCUGUUAACCGAUCUGUCGUAGGUUCGAGUCCUACCUGUGGAGCCA